UGUUCUGUCCCGGAGCAAGAGUGUGCAAAAGAGAGCGAGAGAGAGAGAGCGACAGACAAGGAGCGACACAGAGAGAGACAGAGAGAGAGAGAUAGAGAGAGCGACAGAGAGAGCGAGAAUGGUGUGUGUAUGGAGGAGAAAAAUAGGGGAAGAGACGUUGGGGAAGGAAAAUAGUGGGUUGGACGGUCGACUGGCAGAGUUAGGGGUUACACAGUUGAGGGAAGGGGCUAGCCUAGCCGAGCCGCUAAAUGAAGGAGGCAGUUCUUGGCUUUCACAAUUUACAGCGCCAAGAGAGGGGUGCGGACCUCGACCCUGCAGACUGGUCUGUCCCGAAUUCAUAAAGCAUCUCAGAGUAAGAGUUCUGAUCUAGGAGCAGGUCCCCGCGGUCGUAUUUAGUACGCUCUGAAAGGCAAAACAGAUCCUGGAGCAGGACCUACUCUGAGAACCUUGAUGGAUAUGGGCCCAGGACUAGUAGAGAAUAAAAUCAGCGAGUCCCAUCUGUGAAGGGUGGCGAGCAAACUCUGGCAAAGCUCCCUCACAGCUCAUCAUCAAAAUCCUCACAUAGAAAGCAGUCUCUUCCCAGUCUGGAAGCGGUCUCAAUUGUCUCAACUGACCAUGUCUGAAACAUACAGCCAAGCUGCGCUGCUAUACAGUAUAUCCUAAAAACAGAAAGAAGGGGGAAGGACAUGGAGAAGAGAAACGAAGAGAAGCCAAGCUGCCCUAACACUGCCUAGCGAAAGUCUACAACAACCCUUGCGAUCUUCACAGUUGCCUUCUACCUAAAAAAGGGACUAAAUUAGAUUUUUCCCUACCAAUCUACACAACCUAUUCCACGUUUUGAAAGUGAAAGAAAAGUUGAACUGUUUCUUCUUGAAAAACAUGUUGAAUAACAACAAAAAAGUGCACCUUCUCAGAUGGGGCGGCAGGUAGCCUAGUGGUUAGAGCGUUGGACUAUUAACCGAAAGGUUGCAAGUUUGAAUCCCCGUGGUGACAAGGUAAAAAAAACUGUCGGCCUGCCCCUGAACAAGGCAGUUAACCCACUGCCGUCAUUGAAAAUAAGAAUUUGUUCUGAACUAGUUAGAUAAAAGGUAAAAAAAGAUAAGUGUUCAUAUUUUAUGUAAAAUUAAGAUAUUGUGUGAAUACUUCAGAAAGUAUUCACACCCCUUUUCCCCAAAUUUAUUUUGUGUUACAGCCUGAGAUUAAAAUGCCCCAAAAAUUGUCACUCGCCUACACACAAUAUCCCAUAAAGUGGAAUUCUGUUUUAGAAAAAAACUAAAAAUGAAUUAAAAAUGAAAAGAUGAAAUGUCUUAAGUCAAUAUGUAUUCAUCCCUACGUUAUGGCAAUCCUAAAUAAGUUCAGAAGUAAACAUUUGCUUAAUAAGUUCUUUAACGUUUUUUAAUGACCCCACACAUACAAUUAACUGUAAGGUCCCUCAGUCGAGCAGAUUCAACCAGGGAGGUUUUCCAAUACCUCGCAAAGAAGGGCAUCUAUUGGUCAAUGGGUAAAAAACGUAAAAAAGCAGACAUUGAACAUCUCUUUGAGCAUGGUGAAGUUAUUAAUUACGCUUUGGAUGGUGUAAUACACCCAGUCAGUACAAAGAUACAGGCGUCCUUCCUAACUCAGUUGCCAGUAGAGGGAUUUCACCGUGAGGCCAAUGGUGACUUUAAAACAGUUAUGGAGUUUAAUGGCUGUGACAGGAGAAAACAGAGGAUGGAUCAACAACAUUGUAGCUACUCCCCUAUACAAACCUAAUUGACAGAGUGAAAAGGAAGCCCAGAGAGAAUAAAAAAUAUUCCAAAACAUGCAUCAUGUUUGCAACAAGGGACUAAAGUAAUAUUGCAAAAAAUGUGGCAAAGCAAUUCGCUUUUUGUCCUGACUACAAAGUGUUAAGUUUGGGGCAAAUCCAAUACCACACAUUACUGAGUACCACUCUCCAUAUUUUCAAGCACAGUGGUGGCUGCAUCAUGUUAUGCUUGUAAUUGUUAAGGCCUGGGGAGUUUUUCCAGGAUAAAAAAAAUAACAGAAUGGAGCUAAGCACAGGCAAAAUCCUAGAGGAAAACCUGGUUUAGUCUGCUUUCCACCAGAUACUUGGAGAUUAAUUCACCUUUCAACAGGACAAUAACCUAAAACACAAGGCCAAAUCUACACUGGAGCUGCUUACCAAGAAGACAGUGAAUGUUUUGACUUAAAUCUACUUGAAAAUCUAUGGCAAGACCUGAAAAUAGUUGUCUAGCAAUGAUCAACAACCAAUUUGACUGAGCUUAAAGAAUUGAGGAAAUAAUCAAAUGGGCAAAUGUUGCACAAUCCAGGUGUGGAAAGCUCUAAAAGAAUUACCCAGAAAGAUUUACAGCUGUAAUCGCUGACAAAGGUGAUUCUAACAUGUAUUGACUCAGGGGUGUGAAUACUUCUGUAAAUCAAAUAUUUAUGCAUUUAAUUUUCAAUAAUAACAUUUUAUUUAAAUCUACACACAUGUUCUCAUUUUGUCAUUAUGGGGUAUUGUGUGUAGAUGGAGGGGGAAAAUCUAUUUAAUCCAUAUUGAAUUCAGGCUGGAACAACAACAUGUGGAAUAAAGUCAAAGAGUAUGAAUACUUUCUGAAGGCACUGUAUAAGCACACGCUAGCAGUCAUGCCUGCAUGUCAAAGUCACACAGUGGCAACAUAACUUGGUGAACUAGAACAAGAGAUUUCAGGGAUUCACAGCAUACAUUUUUUAAAUGCAUACUGUUAAAUGAACCUUGCAUUUGUAUACAUAGUUGCCAUUUUUGAAAAAUUCGACAUUUUUCCUCAGCUGGGCUUAACCCUUUACACUUAGGUGGGAACUGGCCUAUACGGAGAGAGCUUAAGUCAAAUGUUUAUUUUAUGAAAAUAAUAGGCAUAAUCAUGGUAGAAAUUGAAAGGGUACAGUUUUGAGGUUAUGAGAAAAUUAUUAGACCAAAAGGUGAGGUCAUAACAGUUCACCUGACAAGACUGAAUCCAAACAUUACACUGUUGAUUUUAUGUGAAUUUUACAUUUUGUGUACUUUUAGCCACAUUUGUUGAUAAUUAAAUCUGAAAAUACUCUGGACACAUCCA